UGAAAAAGGCGAUAAUCGGACGGUUCAGAUCGCUUGGUAAGAUUUUCGCACUCUUUCGAUUCCCAAAAAUUUAAAAAUAAUUUUGUGAUAAUUAUUAACAAAAUUUAGAAUUAAUUUAGAUGCAAUCGGAUCGAGGAUAGCUCAGUAGCGCCGGUACUGCAUUUUCAGCCAGAUUUGGCUGCUCGGCAGCUCGUCUCAAAACGUAGUAGAUAUUAUAGUCAAACCUAGCAUUUUCAGA
rnacentral:misc_RNA from 1 species